rnacentral:rRNA from 3 species
CCUCGUGAAUUCAUCUCCGGGGGUAGAGCACUGUUUCGGCAAGGGGGUCAUCCCGACUUACCAACCCGAUGCAAACUGCGAAUACCGGAGAAUGUUAUCACGGGAGACACACGGCGGGUGCUAACGUCCGUCGUGAAGAGGGAAACAACCCAGACCGCCAGCUAAGGUCCCAAAGUCAUGGUUAAGUGGGAAACGAUGUGGGAAGGCCCAGACAGCCAGGAUGUUGGCUUAGAAGCAGCCAUCAUUUAAAGAAAGCGUAAUAGCUCACUGGUCGAGUCGGCCUGCGCGGAAGAUGUAACGGGGCUAAACCAUGCACCGAAGCUGCGGCAGCGACACUGUGUGUUGUUGGGUAGGGGAGCGUUCUGUAAGCCUGUGAAGGUGUGCUGUGAGGCAUGCUGGAGGUAUCAGAAGUGCGAAUGCUGACAUAAGUAACGAUAAAGCGGGUGAAAAGCCCGCUCGCCGGAAGACCAAGGGUUCCUGUCCAACGUUAAUCGGGGCAGGGUGAGUCGACCCCUAAGGCGAGGCCGAAAGGCGUAGUCGAUGGGAAACAGGUUAAUAUUCCUGUACUUGGUGUUACUGCGAAGGGGGGACGGAGAAGGCUAUGUUGGCCGGGCGACGGUUGUCCCGGUUUAAGCGUGUAGGCUGGUUUUCCAGGCAAAUCCGGAAAAUCAAGGCUGAGGCGUGAUGACGAGGCACUACGGUGCUGAAGCAACAAAUGCCCUGCUUCCAGGAAAAGCCUCUAAGCAUCAGGUAACAUCAAAUCGUACCCCAAACCGACACAGGUGGUCAGGUAGAGAAUACCAAGGCGCUUGAGAGAACUCGGGUGAAGGAACUAGGCAAAAUGGUGCCGUAACUUCGGGAGAAGGCACGCUGAUAUGUAGGUGAAGUCCCUCGCGGAUGGAGCUGAAAUCAGUCGAAGAUACCAGCUGGCUGCAACUGUUUAUUAAAAACACAGCACUGUGCAAACACGAAAGUGGACGUAUACGGUGUGACGCCUGCCCGGUGCCGGAAGGUUAAUUGAUGGGGUCAGCGCAAGCGAAGCUCUUGAUCGAAGCCCCGGUAAACGGCGGCCGUAACUAUAACGGUCCUAAGGUAGCGAAAUUCCUUGUCGGGUAAGUUCCGACCUGCACGAAUGGCGUAAUGAUGGCCAGGCUGUCUCCACCCGAGACUCAGUGAAAUUGAACUCGCUGUGAAGAUGCAGUGUACCCGCGGCAAGACGGAAAGACCCCGUGAACCUUUACUAUAGCUUGACACUGAACAUUGAGCCUUGAUGUGUAGGAUAGGUGGGAGGCUUUGAAGUGUGGACGCCAGUCUGCAUGGAGCCGACCUUGAAAUACCACCCUUUAAUGUUUGAUGUUCUAACGUGGACCCGUGAUCCGGGUUGCGGACAGUGUCUGGUGGGUAGUUUGACUGGGGCGGUCUCCUCCUAAAGAGUAACGGAGGAGCACGAAGGUUGGCUAAUCCUGGUCGGACAUCAGGAGGUUAGUGCAAUGGCAUAAGCCAGCUUGACUGCGAGCGUGACGGCGCGAGCAGGUGCGAAAGCAGGUCAUAGUGAUCCGGUGGUUCUGAAUGGAAGGGCCAUCGCUCAACGGAUAAAAGGUACUCCGGGGAUAACAGGCUGAUACCGCCCAAGAGUUCAUAUCGACGGCGGUGUUUGGCACCUCGAUGUCGGCUCAUCACAUCCUGGGGCUGAAGUAGGUCCCAAGGGUAUGGCUGUUCGCCAUUUAAAGUGGUACGCGAGCUGGGUUUAGAACGUCGUGAGACAGUUCGGUCCCUAUCUGCCGUGGGCGCUGGAGAACUGAGGGGGGCUGCUCCUAGUACGAGAGGACCGGAGUGGACGCAUCACUGGUGUUCGGGUUGUCAUGCCAAUGGCACUGCCCGGUAGCUAAAUGCGGAAGAGAUAAGUGCUGAAAGCAUCUAAGCACGAAACUUGCCCCGAGAUGAGUUCUCCCUGACCCUUUAAGGGUCCUGAAGGAACGUUGAAGACGACGACGUUGAUAGGCCGGGUGUGUAAGCGCAGCGAUGCGUUGAGCUAACCGGUACUAAUGAACCGUGAGGCUUAACCUUACAACGCCGAAGGUGUUU